AUGUUUCCGUGGAAAUUUGGUCUCGUAUACCAUGAUGCUCCACCUGCAGCCAGAAUAGGGGCAUCAGUCACCUGUCUCUCUCUCAUCAGUCCCCUGUCUCUCUCUCAUCAGUCCCCUGUCUCUCUCUCAUCAGUCCCCUGUCUCUCUCUCAUCAGUCCCCUGUCUCUCUCUCAUCAGUCCCCUGUCUCUCUCUCAUCAGUCACCUGUCUCUCAUCAGUCCCCUGUCUCUCAUCAGUCCCCUGUCUCUCUCUCAUCAGUCCCCUGUCUCUCUCUCAUCAGUCACCUGUCUCUCUCUCAUCAGUCCCCUGUCUCUCAUCAGUCCCCUGUCUCUCUCUCAUCAGUCCCCUGUCUCUCUCUCAUCAGUCCCCUGUCUCUCAUCAGUCCCCUGUCUCUCUCUCAUCAGUCCCCUGUCUCUCUCUCAUCAGUCCCGUCUCUCAUCAGUCCCCUGUCUCUCAUCAGUCCCCUGUCUCUCUCUCAUCAGUCACCUGUCUCUCUCUCAUCAGUCACCUGUCUCUCUCUCAUCAGUCCCCUGUCUCUCUCUCAUCAGUCCCCUGUCUCUCUCUCAUCAGUCACCUGUCUCUCUCUCAUCAGUCCCCUGUCUCUCUCUCAUCAGUCCCCUGUCUCUCUCUCAUCAGUCACCCUUCUCUCUCUCAUCAGUCCCUGUCUCUCUCUCAUCAGUUCCCCUGUCUCUCAUCAGUCCCUGUCUCUCUCUCAUCAGUCCCCUGUCUCUCAUCAGUCCCCUGUCUCUCAUCAGUUCCCUGUCUCUCAUCAGUCCCCUGUCUCUCUCUCAUCAGUCACCUGUCUCUCUCUCAUCAGUCCCCUGUCUCUCUCUCAUCAGUCCCCUGUCUCUCAUCAGUCCCCUGUCUCUCUCUCAUCAGUCCCCUGUCUCUCUCAUCAGUCCCCUGUCUCUCAUCAGUCCCCUGUCUCUCUCUCAUCAGUCCCGUCUCUCUCUCAUCAGUCCCCUGUCUCUCAUCAGUCCCCUGUCUCUCUCUCAUCAGUCCCCUGUCUCUCUCUCAUCAGUCACCUGUCUCUCUCUCAUCAGUCCCCUGUCUCUCAUCAGUCCCCUGUCUCUCAUCAGUCCCCUGUCUCUCAUCAGUUCCCUGUCUCUCAUCAGUCCCCUGUCUCUCUCUCAUCAGUCCCCUGUCUCCUCUCAUCAGUCCCCUGUCUCUCUCUCAUCAGUCCCCUGUCUCUCAUCAGUCCCCUGUCUCUCUCUCAUCAGUCCCGUCUCUCUCUCAUCAGUCCCCUGUCUCUCUCUCAUCAGUCCCGUCUCUCUCUCAUCAGUCCCCCUUCCUCUCUCUCAUCAGUCCCCCUGUCUCUCUCUCAUCAGUCCCGUCUCUCAUCAGUCCCCUGUCUCUCUCUCAUCAGUCCCCUGUCUCUCUCUCAUCAGUCCCCUGUCUCUCAUCAUCCCCUGUCUCUCUCUCAUCAGUCCCUGUCUCUCAUCAGUCCCCUGUUCUCUCUCAUCAGUCACCUGUCUCUCAUCAGUCCCCUGUCCUCUCUCAUCAGUCACCUGUUCUCUCAUCAGUCCCUGUCUCUCAUCAGUCCCCUGUCUCUCUCUCAUCAGUCCCCUGUCUCUCAUCAGUCACCUGUCUCUCAUCAGUCCCCUGUCUCUCUCUCAUCAGUCCCCUGUCUCUCUCUCAUCAGUCCCCUGUCUCUCUCUCCUCAGUCCCGUCUCUCAUCAGUCCCCUGUCUCUCAUCAGUCACCUGUCUCUCUCUCAUCAGUCCCCUCUCUCAUCAGUCCCCUGUCUCUCAUCAGUCCCGUCUCUCAUCAGUCACCUGUCUCUCAUCAGUCACCUGUCUCUCAUCAGUCCCCUGUCUCUCUCUCAUCAGUCCCCUGUCUCUCAUCAGUCCCCUGUCUCUCAUCAGUCACCUGUCUCUCUCUCAUCAGUCCCCUGUCUCUCAUCAGUCACCUGUCUCUCAUCAGUCCCCUGUCUCUCUCUCAUCAGUCCCCUGUCUCUCUCUCAUCAGUCACCUGUCUCUCUCUCAUCAGUCCCCUGUCUCUCUCUCAUCAGUCCCCUGUCUCUCAUCAGUCCCCUGUCUCUCUCUCUCUCCCCUGUCUCUCUCAUCAGUCCCCUGUCUCUCAUCAGUCCCCUGUCUCUCUCUCAUCAGUCCCGUCUCUCUCUCAUCAGUCCCCUGUCUCUCAUCAGUCCCCUGUCUCUCUCUCAUCAGUCCCCCUGUCCUCUCUCUCAUCAGUCACCUGUCUCUCUCCAUCAGUCCCCUGUCUCUCAUCAGUCCCCUGUCCUCUCCUCAGUCCCCUGUCUCUCAUCAUUCCCUGUCCUCUCAUCAGUCCCCUGUCUCUCUCUCAUCAGUCCCUGUCUCUCUCUCAUCAGUCCCCUGUCUCUCUCCUCAUCAGUCCCCUGUCUCUCAUCAGUCCCCUGUCUCUCU
rnacentral:lncRNA from 1 species